rnacentral:rRNA from 1 species
AGAGUUCGAUCCUGGCUCAGGAUGAACGCUGGCGGCGUGCCUAACACAUGCAAGUCGAACGAGAUGCGUAUUGGAAAGCUUCGGCCGGAAGAUACGUUAUCUAGUGGCGGACGGGUGAGUAACACGUGGGUAACCUGCCUUAUGGAGGGGGAUAACAGAGAGAAAUCACUGCUAAUACCGCAUAAGCACACAGUACCGCAUGGUACAGGGUGAAAAGAUUUAUCGCCAUAAGAUGGACCCGCGUCUGAUUAGCCAGUUGGCAGGGUAAAAGCCUACCAAAGCAACGAUCAGUAGCCGAUCUGAGAGGAUGACCGGCCACAUUGGGACUGAGACACGGCCCAAACUCCUACGGGAGGCAGCAGUGGGGAAUAUUGCACAAUGGGGGAAACCCUGAUGCAGCGACGCCGCGUGAGUGAAGAAGUAUUUCGGUAUGUAAAGCUCUAUCAGCAGGGAAGAAAAUGACGGUACCUGACUAAGAAGCCCCGGCUAACUACGUGCCAGCAGCCGCGGUAAUACGUAGGGGGCAAGCGUUAUCCGGAUUUACUGGGUGUAAAGGGAGCGUAGACGGAAUGGCAAGUCUGAAGUGAAAUACCCGGGCUCAACCUGGGAACUGCUUUGGAAACUGUUGUUCUAGAGUGUUGGAGAGGUAAGUGGAAUUCCUGGUGUAGCGGUGAAAUGCGUAGAUAUCAGGAAGAACACCGGAGGCGAAGGCGGCUUACUGGACAAUAACUGACGUUGAGGCUCGAAAGCGUGGGGAUCAAACAGGAUUAGAUACCCUGGUAGUCCACGCUGUAAACGAUGAAUACUAGGUGUCGGGGUGCAAAGCAUCUCGGUGCCGUCGCUAACGCAAUAAGUAUUCCACCUGGGGAGUACGUUCGCAAGAAUGAAACUCAAAGGA